CCCGACCCUACCUAGCUUUUGGACGUCGAAAUCCCGACCCUAAAUUUUUUUAUUGGAUCACGCUUGUAAGUGUUUUCACUUAGAGGAAAACGUUUGUGGAAAAUGAAAAUUUGAGGCAAUAUUAGGGAAAUUUAUGUUUGGAUGUGGAAGCACUGACUAAACAAAAUGGCGUCCGGUUGUUAGGAAAAUUAAAAAGAAAAGUAAAAAAAAAGUUAAAACCGACCUACCCUACCUAAGUUUUUAC